UUUCUGUUGGUUUAAUGAUUUCAUCAUUAUUUCAAAAUGUCGUCUGUGAAAAGGCCUAUUACUUCAAGUGUAACUAGUAGUUAGACUGAAAAGGAAGUUAACCUUCAAAUAAAUCAGAGCAGCGCAUCCAGAUCUCCCAUAGCAGCAGUCCCAAAGCAUAGAUGUCCCCCUGCAUGAGACACCAGCUGCUGCUUAGGUUUACAGAGCCUUCCAGGAUCUCGGGGGACAUGUAGUGCAGUGUGCCCACCUGGCGAUGGCCCUGUGGAUGGACAGAAAUGUGAGAAUCUCUAUCUUCAGUAUUUCUCGGCUGUGAUGUCCUGAACAAGCACGCAGGAUGGUGGAGCAUCCAAAAUCACACAGGACGCAGGUACCGUCAGCUCUCACAAGCACAUUGGAGCUGCUGAGGUCUC